CGGGCGGCCGGGCGGCCGGGCGGCCAGGCGGAAGGGUAAGCCUCCGUCCGCUCCGCUCCGCCCCGUCCCGGCCGAGUAGCCCCGCCCCCUCGCCGCCCCGCUUCUCCCGCCGCACCGGGCAAUCCUGGUUGGUGGUGCCCCGCGGUCGGCGCCGGGAGUGGGAAGCAUGCGCGGCGACUGGGAACUGGGCGCCGCGGCUGGAGGCCCGCUGCUGCUGUGCGCCGCGCUGCUGGCCGUGGGCUGCGCACUGGGUCUGCGCCUGGGCCGCGGCCUGGGGGCUGCGGACCGCGGGGCGCUAGCCUGGCUCUGCUUCGACGCCCUGGUGCACUUCGCGCUGGAAGGCCCUUUUGUCUACUUGUCUUUGGUAGGAAACAUCACAGAUUCUGAUGCCUUGAUCGCUUCAUUGUGGAAAGAAUAUGGCAAAGCUGACGCAAGAUGGCUUUAUUUGGAUCCAACCAUUGUGUCUUUGGAAAUUCUGACUGUCGUCCUGGGAGGGUUUCUGGCAUUGGUUCUCAUUUAUGCCAUCGUCAAAGGGAAACAUUAUCGGUUCUGAACAUACGACAUCGCCGCUGCCUCCGUGUGAGAGACAAUCUCAGAAUCAGCAAUUAAACGUGCCAGGCGCCCAGGCCUGGAGCAGAGCAACCGGCCGAAACCUGGGGCUUCUGAGCAGGCACAUCACAGAGAAUAAAAGGAAACAUUCUGCUUGUGCUUCAGAGAAGAGGGAUUUUCGUCAGCACCUGGAUGGAACGUUGUCAGCACCCGGAGAGACCAGAGGAAACUGGGAAAACAGGUGACAGAGCCUCCUGCGGUGCGGGAGCUGGAAACAGCUACGACUGACCAGGCCGCAUCCUGUAAACAGUGGCUAUUUAUAGAUACUGUUGACCUUGGACACAUGUAUGGCUCAGAGCAAAGUGCUUUCCUCCAGUGUCUUACCAAGACUGUCCAGCCCUCCAGUUCCCAGGCUCAAAGCACCCAUGCUUUGAGUUCCUCAGCCUUCAGAGAGGAGGUGGUAGCUGGAUGUACCGUCCCCAGACACUGUUGUGGGGAAAAGCUUCCAGGUGCCGCAGAGAUUGGGGAAUAGAGGAAGCGUUCCCACUGUUGAGGAUUUUGAUGUAAUGAUGAUAAUGGUAACGGUACUGGUAGGCACCAUUUACUGGGUUCUUUAUGUUAGGCGUUUAAUGAUCUCAUUUCCUCCUCUUGACCACUGUGCCAGGUAGGUAUCGUUAUCACCAUUUUAUUAAGAAAAAGCUGAGGUUCAGAGAGGCAAAGUAACUCUACUUUCAGCUGCAAGUGGCUGAAGCUAGGUUUUCUUAUGAUCUCACUCGACCGUAGGUAAGGAGGGAGGAGGUCCCAGGUUGGUUCAGCAGCUCAGCAGUGUCAUCCAGGAGCCAGUCUCUCUCCACAUUUCUGCGUUGGCAUCAACUUGUGGGUGAUGUUUCCUUCCCUCGGUGCAGCAGCACCAAGCUUCUCAUCCUCACACAACCAAAUUCAAAAGCAGGAAGAAGGGAAAGGUGGCAGUCUUCUCAUGUGUUUGUGUGCAUGUGUGUGUGUGUAUUUAUUUUAUCAGGAAGGAAAUCUUCCCCCAAAGCCUCCCAGUCAAUUUUAUCUGAUAUCUCACUGUCCAAGAGAAUGAAAUGACUUGAUUUGACCCGGCAGGGUUCACCUCUGAGCGUACUGUCUGUCUCUCGAGAGCUGAAUAAAACUGCGCUAUUCUUAGUGAGAAGAAAGUGGGAAUCGUGUUGGGUGGGCAACAGUAUCGACUGCAUUUCCCCAGCAUUCCACGGUAGAGGGUUGUCUUCUUACAUACAUGCUUUCUUCCAAGAUCUCUUUAACAUGAGCUAACAGUGUGUGUGUGUGUGCACACGCGUGUGUGUGCCAGCAGGCACGUCCCAGGUGCUCACACUUGGUUGCUUGUGUAGCCUGGUCAUCGAGUCCAAAGAUAAGAAAUCAGUGGAAAUGCUGCAGUAAUUCUUGCUUGCUAUCUUGCAAAUGAGAGACAGGGCAGGAUAGCAAGGCUGGGUUAGUGAGGCACCAUCAUGUAUUAAGGAAGAAGGCAGGUUGAAGAACGAGGAGAUCUGGAUUCUAGCCCCAGAUCUGCUACUUUCUAUCUGUGUUACCUUGGGUAAGUUAUUUAAUCUUUCUGAACCUCAGUUUUCUCAUCUGUAAAGCAAGAAGGUUGGACUAGGUCAUCUCUAAAUUUUGUUCAGCUCUAAUAUUCUAUAGUUACAGUGCAGUUUUUACUGAGCAGCUAUGAGCAGUGCUCUGUACAGUCUAUCACAUUAUUUUUUUUUUACAUUAUCUUUUUAAAAACCUUUCAAAAUGCAUCUGCAUGCCAUAUGAAUGGAAGAAGUCAACAUUAUUCAUGUAUAUGGAGACUAGGACAUCAUGUAACAGAAUUAGAUAUAGAAUAUAGUAUUGCAGACUCUUUUCAAAUGUCUUUAGUUUGCAUUACAAAUUGUACUUUGAGGUACUAUCACUUUAACUGGCUUGUGUUUUACAUUUACAGCACAGCUCAUCUUCCAGAACUUUUCGCUGUUUCGAGUUUCCAUUUUAUUGGAAACACCAUCUCUUUAUAACUGAGUAGAGAACACGGCAGAGUCGGGGGAAAUUUUUGUGCCUGUCUCUUUUACUCUCUCUCUCUCUCUCACUCUGAACAUAAAUAGUAUCUUGACAGCUGAUCUUUGUCGUUUCAAAAAAACACAUGAAAAGGAAACAGCAGUGGGUGAUCUGCUUUCUGAAACAGUGUAAGAAAGAUCUGAAGAGUGUUAGCUUUGCACUGAAGCUCCUUCAGCUUCUGCUUUUACAAUAUUUGCAGGAAGUUUCCUGACACUAAGGGGGAAAAGAAACAGUGGCCAGAGACUGUCUCCUGAAAAUAUGCAGGAAGGAUAAUAUGGAGGCCAAGACGGACGUGUGUGAUGAGCUCCAGCAGUGCCUCAAAACAGGAACUGAUGACAGGGAGGUUUUGCUAUUUAUCUUCCAGGGUUGUUUUAAUAUGCAAAGUAGGUCCUCAGCGGCAGCUGCUAUUCCGUCAGCCACAUUUCCUGAACUGGAUACUGUAUUUUUAGUUGACAGGAAAAAAAAACCACUUGGUUAGGAAGGAGCUCGGAUGGUCACGUCUCAGAGACUCAGAUCAGCACUUGAGACUUUACUACAUUUCCCAGAUGAGUUUCUGUCACUCUGGGCAGCAAGCAACAGAGUGUUUACUUCAAUUCUCUUCCUUGUAUUAAAAAUCAUUAUAUAAGGUAUAAUGAAUAUAUUUUUCUGUAUGAGCGUCAAACAACAUAAAAGUCUACAAGAUGAAAUUCCUAAGCUCACCGUCCAAAUCACUACUCCCCUCCUUAGAGAUAACCCACAGUUUGAUGUACAUUUUUACAGUGAUAUUUCUAUAAUAUACUCACAUAUUUUGGAGCAGACAGAUAUUUUAUUAUUUUUUUUGUUUGAUUAGGUCUUUUUUUAAUGUAAUUGUGAUAUCUGUAACAUUUCAUUUAACAAUAUUGCAGCGAUUUCUCCAUGUUAGUACAUAUAAGUCUACCUUGGUUAUCUUUUGUUACUAUUUUUAAAAAUAAUUUAUUAAAUAUUGAGAAGGCCAUAAGAAGUAUAAUACUAAAACAGGUGAAAUUAUGUGACCCUAGAGAUUUUCAGAAUCUGCAGGAGACCUUUCUAGAACAGGGAGGGCUGCAGCUUCCCCAGGCCAAUCUUGUGUGGCUGCACAGGUGUCGAUACGAUGGGGGAUCAAUGGCUGCUCUGGAGGGAAGGCAGAGCAUUCCCCAAAGAAUGGGUGUUUACACAACAUAGGAUUGUUCAGAUACUUUUGGCCCCUAGCAAACAUUGCCUAAGUGGUGUUCUUGAGGUUGGUACAUACCUAUGCUUGGGAAAGAUGUGGAGGCUGGAGGAGGUGAGGAGAUGGGGAGAAAUCUAGAGUGUAGAGAAGCUUGGAUUUCCGUUGACACACUUUUUUUUUUCCCCUAGAGAGAUACUGACACACAGUCACUGGAUUAAAUUGAUGCUCCCAUCUCAAUUAACUCAUUAGGGGUGUUUUAUCCAUACCUGAAGACUCCUUGGAGAUCCCUAUUGUAAGAUUGGGAACUCUGCCUUCUAACCUGGCUCAUUGACUCACUUCUGAGUGGACUGAGACAAAUUCUACCAAUUGUUGAAUUUGUUUCCUUGUUUGUGAGGCACUGAAGUAAGUAAUCCUCUUGUGGAAGUGCCUGGGCCACCUUUUAAAAGUUGGUCACCCCUGUAGCGGGAUCGGAAAUAUUGCAGUUAUUUUUGGAGUUGGAUGAAGAAAUGUAUCUUGAAAUUAAAAAGUAGUUAAACCUAUAGCAUUUACCAUAGCUGGGUUUGAAUUUCGUAUCAAAGACAGUGUCAAAUCUAGGUUGGUUAAUAAAUAAACUAGAAGCAAACACAAUAAAUGGGAAUAAAACAUUUAACAGAUGUUAAGUUUGGCUCACGCCACACGGUGGCAGGCUUAGUCUGUGUUGUGCUUCCUUUUCAAGCAGCAAAUCUAAAUGCUUGCAUUUAACUACAUUAAAUCUUUUUAGAAAGUUAUCUUUUAGAAAGUUAACUUUUAGAAAGUAUGACAUAAGUUAUUAAUUUGUCAAGAUUAUAUUUUAUUAUAAAGUGUACUUUACGUUGUAUGAUACCUGAGCAGCAGUGAUUUGAGCCUUCAACAGGACAUUCUACCUCUAGAUCUCAAUUACUUCAUCACUAAAAUGAUGGGCUUGGGUUACUUACAGUUCUAAAAUUGUCAUACCUCUCCUAUAACUAAAAAAAGCCUAAACAUUCUUCUUCAGUAACAAGAAUUUCAGUCAUAUUGCAGUUAACUUGAUAAGGAAUAUAGUUUUUUAGUUAGAUUGCCUAGAUUUGAAUUUGAGUUCUGUCAUUUAUUAACCGUGAGGUAAGGAACUUCACAAGUUCCAGUUUCCUCACCUGUAAAGUGCUAUAAAUUAUACUACAUAUCCAACAGGGUUGUUAGGAUUAAAUGCGGAAAAAUGUAUGUGUGGCAGAGACUUGCAAACCGUUCACCAAAUCAUUUCUUUUUUUUCCUGGAUAAUCAGCUAAACCACAUUUCACAUCGUCACCUGCAGUUAAUUGUGGUCAUAAGACUGAAUUCUGGCCAAUGGAAUGUAAGAGAAAGAAAUUCAUGUCACUCCUAGGCUCAGCUCUCAAAAAUCUCCCAUUGUGAUCUUUGUUCUUUGAACUUCUGCAGUUUCCCCGGAAGCUACUUGUUAAAGAUGUCAGGACAACGAUCUUCAGGAAAUGGAAGGAAACAUGGUCCCGAAGCACGGUGUGGAGGAGAGCUUUAUGCCUGUUAGAAACACUCGUUUUGGACUUUACGUUCUUGACAGAUGCUUUUCACCAGCAUGGUCCUGUAUUAGCGUGAACGCCAGGAGGAAGAGUCCUUGUCCUCGCCUGCCUUGGAGAUAGAGCCCAGUUUCUUCUUAAAGUACUACUUGUAAAUUGACAGACUUUUGCCCUGUAGAAAAAGGUUAGAGAGCUCUAAAAUAAUCUUUGGAACAACUAAUUUUGCUGUUUUCAGAUAACAAUUAUAGAGAGCUUCUGGAGCUGGGAAAAAAAAAAGUAAAAAAAAAAAAGAAAUCACCCAGCACUAGUGCACAGGUCAAUUUUAGGUGAAGAGCCUAGGAUUUGUCUAAUGGAAAGUUACUCAAUCCAAUAAAUGAUACUAAUAAAUGGC